rnacentral:rRNA from 1 species
UCGAGAAUCAUUCACAAUGGGGGAAACCCUGAUGGUGCGACGCCGCGUGGAGGAUAAGGUCUUCGGAUUGUAAACUCCUGUCAUGUGAGAGCAAAGCUCUAGCGUUAAUCGCGUUGGAGUUUGAUCGGAUCACAAGAGGAAGAGGCGGUUAACUCGGUGCCAGCAGCCGCGGUUAUACAGAGGUCUCUAGCGGUGUUCGGAAUCACUGGGGGUAAAGGGGGAGUAGGAGGAGUGGUUCGUCUGAUGUUG